CACUCGGCUGGGUACCUCAUUUUGACCUUAGAGCAAGCGACUCACUGCCGCCAUGGCUGUGCCGAGGAGUACAGCAGGACAGUGUUUGAACAAGUGCCCAGCAAUGGAAUGGAAGGCUUCAGAUCUUCUGGGAAGAUCCAAAACAACUAGUGACUUUUUAAAAUCCAUUACAAGAAAAUUCUCUUCAAGAGACAGAAGAAAACACCUCAUAAAGCAAAGAAACAGUUACUAAGUGCUGAUGAUAAUAGAAAAUAGAGUCUGGAAGAUAAGCACAUUUUGAAAAAAGAGAAAUCAGAUGGGAAUUGUAUACCUGCUGCUGUCAUCAACUGUGUUGUUAUUAACUGCCUUUGAGUAGUCUUCGAUCCAUGGUGACCCUGUGAAUGAGGGACCUCUAAGUCACCCUAUCCUCAACUGGCCUCCUCAUCUCCUACAGAUUCAUGACUGUGCCUUCUCUGAUUGAAUCUAUCCAUCUGGUAUAUGGUCUUCCUCUUUUCCCAUUGUCCUCACCUUUACCAAGCAUUAUGAAAAAAUGCAUGAUACAUGUAAUGAAGAAUCAUAUGAAGAUCAAACCCAAAUUCUAAAACGUGAGGUGGAAGCUGCAAUAAGAGUAAUUGGGAAGAUUAAAUCACCAGAAACAAAUAAUAUCCCAAUUGAGCUGCUACAAUUAAAACAUAUAGAAUCAA